AUUGAACGCUGGCGGCAGGCUUAACACAUGCAAGUCGAGCGGGGUGAUGGUGCUUGCACUAUCACUUAGCGGCGGACGGGUGAGUAAUGCUUAGGAAUCUGCCUAUUAGUGGGGGACAACAUCUCGAAAGGGAUGCUAAUACCGCAUACGUCCUACGGGAGAAAGCAGGGGAUCACUUGUGACCUUGCGCUAAUAGAUGAGCCUAGGUCGGAUUAGCGAGGUGGUGGGGUAAAGGCCUACCGAGGCGACGUUCUGUAGCGGGUCUGAGAGGAUGAUCCGCCACACUGGGACUGAGACACGGCCCAGACUACUACGGGAGGCAGCAGUGGGGAAUAUUGGACAAUGGGGGGAACCCUGAUCCAGCCAUGCCGCGUGUGUGAAGAAGGCCUUAUGGUUGUAAAGCACUUUAAGCGAGGAAGAGGCUCUUUUGGUUAAUACCAAAGAUGAGUGGACGUUACUCGCAGAAUAAGCACCGGCUAACUCUGUGCCAGCCGCCGCAGUAA
rnacentral:rRNA from 1 species